CUUCUCUACUCUAUCCAGUCAUAUUCAUGAUUCUGUCAUCAUUCAUAACUGAAUAAAUUAAUGUCAAUUAUUCAGGUAAGUCUAUAUUAAUAGUCUACUCUACUCUACUUCAUUCUAUGUAUAGUUUACUCUACUUUACUCUAUUCAGUCAUAUUCAUCCUUCUCUGCCGUCAUUAUUAGCUGAAUAAAUGAAAGUCCUUAAUUCAGUUAAGUCCAUGUUUAUAGUCUACUCUACUCUACUAUAUGUAUAGUUUACUCUACUCUACUGUACUCUAUUCUAUUUAAAGUCUACUCUAACCUACUCUACUCUAUCCAGUCUUAGUCAUCCUUCUCUGCCAUCAUUCUGAAUGACUGCUCAACGACUGCUCACUAAACGAUGUCCUACCCCCAGCCCACGGCCUUCUGGCGGACAUGGUGAGGGGCCACUCGGACCAGGUUGUUCAGGGGCCCCCCGGACCCCCUGGGCCCCAGGGCCCCGUGGGCCCUACGGGGUCCAGCCGCUGGGUCGGCUCCCCUAGAAACGCCACCGACCUGGUGGAGUACAUCCGAGGUGAGGGACGUACGGCCGGGACGCAGCGCAGUUAAUCAGUGGGCACGUACAGACCUACAAUUAACUUAACGAGCAACACUCCUAGCAUCACUCCUCUGUGAUAACGGCCAAUCAGCAGCACCCAUGCUGGCUUCAUUAGCAUAUCUCGCAGUAAUCAACAGAAUCAGCUCCGUCUCUAUUUAAAACCCGUCUAACACAGCCUUGUCUUUGCCUCCCCCCCGUCUCUCCGCCAGCUCACGGCCUUCUGCGAGACGCCACGAGGGACCGGUCCGACCGGGUGGUCCACGGGCCCCCGGGCCCCGCGGGACCCCCGGGCCAACCGGGGAACGCCACCGACCUGGUGGAAUACAUACGAUCCCACGGCCUGCUACGAGACACAGUGAGGGAGUACACCGAUCGCAUCGUCCAAGGGCCCCCGGGGGCUCCUGGAGAGCCCGGUCAGCCCGGGUACAGCCAGCACCUCGGCCCCGACGGCAGCGUCACCGACUUGGUGGAAUACAUCAAAGCGCACGGAGCAUUCACCGGACCCCCUGGGUAUCCUGGGGUCAAAGGUGACAGAGGAUACACAGGUCAAAAAGGAGAGAGAGGUGAACAAGUUUAUCCCGAUCCAUGGAGGGGAGAUAAAGUAGAGAGCCACCUCAGGACUUCCAGAAGAAGGAGACACGUGGCCGCCUGAGGAGUUUGGACGUCGGCAGUAGGCGUGGGAGUUUUAGUGUGAAACCUUGCUGAGUUUGGGGUUUCUGACGGUGGUCCUGGCAUUUCUAACGGGACUAUGGGGAACACACAGUGGUGUGUAUAUGUAGACACACCGCCCGCAGGGGUCUGGGACCAGUGGUGUUGAGUUGAGCCUGCUCACCGGUUUAAUUAACUAAUUGUAAAGUGGGGCAUUCAUGGGUUUAUGUUUUCAUACGUUUCAGUAUUUCUACUGUUUCUACUUUUGUUUGUUUGAGUCAUUUAUGAAUUUUAGCAGAGGUUUUGUAUUAGCAUCUGGGAUUGAAUCGACAUGCAUUAGAA
ensembl:lncRNA